rnacentral:rRNA from 1 species
CGGUUAAGUUAGAAAGGGCGCACGGUGGAUGCCUUGGCACUAGGAGCCGAUGAAGGACGGGACGAACACCGAUAUGCUUCGGGGAGCUGUAAGCAAGCUUUGAUCCGGAGAUUUCCGAAUGGGGAAACCCACCACUCGUAAUGGAGUGGUAUCCAUAUCUGAAUACAUAGGAUAUGAGAAGGCAGACCCGGGGAACUGAAACAUCUAAGUACCCGGAGGAAGAGAAAGUAAAUGCGAUUCCCUGAGUAGCGGCGAGCGAAACGGGACCAGCCCAAACCAAGAGGCUUGCCUCUUGGGGUUGUAGGACACUCUGUACGGAGUUACAAAGGAACGAGGUAGAUGAAGAGGUCUGGAAAGGCCCGCCAUAGGAGGUAACAGCCCUGUAGUCAAAACUUCGUUCUCUCCUGAGUGGAUCCUGAGUACGGCGGAACACGUGAAAUUCCGUCGGAAUCCGGGAGGACCAUCUCCCAAGGCUAAAUACUCCCUAGUGACCGAUAGUGAACCAGUACCGUGAGGGAAAGGUGAAAAGCACCCCGGAAGGGGAGUGAAAGAGAUCCUGAAACCGUGUGCCUACAAGUAGUCAGAGCCCGUUAACGGGUGAUGGCGUGCCUUUUGUAGAAUGAACCGGCGAGUUACGAUCCCGUGCAAGGUUAAGCAGAAGAUGCGGAGCCGCAGCGAAAGCGAGUCUGAAUAGGGCGAAUUGAGUACGUGGUCGUAGACCCGAAACCAGGUGAUCUACCCAUGUCCAGGGUGAAGUUCAGGUAACACUGAAUGGAGGCCCGAACCCACGCACGUUGAAAAGUGCGGGGAUGAGGUGUGGGUAGGGGUGAAAUGCCAAUCGAACCUGGAGAUAGCUGGUUCUCUCCGAAAUAGCUUUAGGGCUAGCCUCAAGGUAAGAGUCUCGGAGGUAGAGCACUGAUUGGACUAGGGGCCCCUACCGGGUUACCGAAUUCAGUCAAACUCCGAAUGCCGAUGACUUAUCCUUGGGAGUCAGACUGCGAGUGAUAAGAUCCGUAGUCGAAAGGGAAACAGCCCAGACCGCCAGCUAAGGUCCCAAAGUAUACGUUAAGUGGAAAAGGAUGUGGAGUUGCUUAGACAACCAGGAUGUUGGCUUAGAAGCAGCCACCAUUUAAAGAGUGCGUAAUAGCUCACUGGUCGAGUGACUCUGCGCCGAAAAUGUACCGGGGCUAAACGUAUCACCGAAGCUGCGGACUGUUCUUCGAACAGUGGUAGGAGAGCGUUCUAAGGGCUGUGAAGCAAGACCGGAAGGACUUGUGGAGCGCUUAGAAGUGAGAAUGCCGGUAUGAGUAGCGAAAGAGGGGUGAGAAUCCCCUCCACCGAAUGCCUAAGGUUUCCUGAGGAAGGCUCGUCCGCUCAGGGUUAGUCGGGACCUAAGCCGAGGCCGAAAGGCGUAGGCGAUGGAUAACAGGUUGAUAUUCCUGUACCACCUCCUCACCAUUUGAGCAAUGGGGGGACGCAGGAGGAUAGGGUAAGCGCGGUAUUGGAUAUCCGCGUCCAAGCAGUUAGGCUGGGAAAUAGGCAAAUCCGUUUCCCGUGAAGGCUGAGCUGUGAUGGCGAGCGAAUUAUAGUAGCGAAGUUCCUGAUUCCACACUGCCAAGAAAAGCCUCUAGCGAGGUGAGAGGUGCCCGUACCGCAAACCGACACAGGUAGGCGAGGAGAGAAUCCUAAGGUGAUCGAGAGAACUCUCGUUAAGGAACUCGGCAAAAUGACCCCGUAACUUCGGGAGAAGGGGUGCUCUGUUAGGGUGCAAGCCCGAGAGAGCCGCAGUGAAUAGGCCCAGGCGACUGUUUAGCAAAAACACAGGUCUCUGCGAAGCCGUAAGGCGAAGUAUAGGGGCUGACGCCUGCCCGGUGCUGGAAGGUUAAGAGGAGCGCUUAGCGUAAGCGAAGGUGCGAAUUGAAGCCCCAGUAAACGGCGGCCGUAACUAUAACGGUCCUAAGGUAGCGAAAUUCCUUGUCGGGUAAGUUCCGACCCGCACGAAAGGCGCAACGAUCUGGGCACUGUCUCAACGAGAGACUCGGUGAAAUUAUAGUACCUGUGAAGAUGCAGGUUACCCGCGACAGGACGGAAAGACCCCGUGGAGCUUUACUGUAGCCUGAUAUUGAAUGUUGGUACAGCUUGUACAGGAUAGGUAGGAGCCUUGGAAACCGGAGCGCCAGCUUCGGUGGAGGCAUCGGUGGGAUACUACCCUGGCUGUAUUGACCUUCUAACCCGCCGCCCUUAUCGGGCGGGGAGACAGUGUCAGGUGGGCAGUUUGACUGGGGCGGUCGCCUCCUAAAAGGUAACGGAGGCGCCCAAAGGUUCCCUCAGAAUGGUUGGAAAUCAUUCGCAGAGUGUAAAGGCACAAGGGAGCUUGACUGCGAGACCUACAAGUCGAGCAGGGACGAAAGUCGGGCUUAGUGAUCCGGUGGUUCCGCAUGGAAGGGCCAUCGCUCAACGGAUAAAAGCUACCCCGGGGAUAACAGGCUUAUCUCCCCCAAGAGUCCACAUCGACGGGGAGGUUUGGCACCUCGAUGUCGGCUCAUCGCAUCCUGGGGCUGUAGUCGGUCCCAAGGGUUGGGCUGUUCGCCCAUUAAAGCGGUACGCGAGCUGGGUUCAGAACGUCGUGAGACAGUUCGGUCCCUAUCCGUCGCGGGCGCAGGAAAUUUGAGAGGAGCUGUCCUUAGUACGAGAGGACCGGGAUGGACGCACCGCUGGUGUACCAGUUGUUCUGCCAAGGGCAUCGCUGGGUAGCUAUGUGCGGACGGGAUAAGUGCUGAAAGCAUCUAAGCAUGAAGCCCCCCUCAAGAUGAGAUUUCCCAUUCCGCAAGGAAGUAAGAUCCCUGAAAGAUGAUCAGGUUGAUAGGUCUGAGGUGGAAGUGUGGCGACACAUGGAGCUGACAGAUACUAAUCGAUCGAGGACUUAACCAAUUU